GCCUGGGUGGCUCAGUCGGUUAAGCGUCUGACUUCAGCUCAGGUCAUGAUCUCACAGUUUGUGGGGUCGAGCCCCGCAUCGGGCU
rfam:Felis catus isolate Cinnamon breed Abyssinian chromosome X, whole genome shotgun sequence.